GUAGCAUAAUCAUUUGGGGUUUAAUUGGAACCUGGUAUGAAUGGUUGGACAAAGGAAAAGCUGUCUUUAUAAUAAAAAUUGAAAUUUACCUUUAAGUGAAAAGGCUUAAAUGUUUCAAAGGGACGAUAAGACCCUAUAAAGCUUUAUGAAUAAUUUAAAUUUUAUUUAUGUAAAAGUUUAAAGAUUAAAUUUAAUUAUUUUAUUUCGUUGGGGCGAUGAAAGUAUAAUUACAAGUAACUGCUGAAAUAGAAGAUUCUAUAAUGAAAGAAUUAUUUAUAAUGAUCCUAUUUAAAGAUUAAAAGGCUAAGUUACUUUAGGGAUAACAGCGUUAUUUCUUUUGAGAGUUCAUAUCGAAAAAGAAGAUUGCGACCUCGAUGUUGAAUUAAAAUGUCUAUAUAAUGAAGGUGUUAUAUAAGAGGGUCUGUU
rnacentral:rRNA from 1 species